GUGCCUUCCCUCAUCGCGCAUGCGCUGGGGAGGCGCCUCGCCUCUCCCACUUACCGCGGCGGAGCGGGGGGGAAACCGGACAAACACCGGGCGGAGUUCGUCGGGCAUCCGGCCUGACGGGGAGCGUACCACUCUGAGGCGAACCCUUUCCUGCCGUUGCGCCAGGAAAGAACGAGGCUUCCUCACCACCACCACCACGCCCCCCGCAGAGAUCACAAGUUAUGAGUGAGGGGGGCCUUGGUAAACUACUGGAACAAAGAAGAAGUAAAGUGAUGAAGUGAGGCCAUGGCAGUGACCUGAAGGACUGCUGUCUUCUGCAGAGUUGGUCACCUGCUGGAGAUUUCAAAGCUGCCUCAUUGCAUAGCGUACAGUAUUGGAUCUACAUGUUAAGGAUUCCACAUCAGUAGAAGGAAAAGAUGCAAUUGGCGCAUUGCAACACCUGAUCUUCCAGUCCCUGGUGCUUAUCUAUAGCUUGGACAUCCCCAGAAUUGAUUGCCAGCUGUGCGGAAUUUGUACUGUAAUGUUCUGUCUUUAUAAUACAUAGUGGUAAUCACAGAAACAAACAACAGUCUGAUACAAACAGCCAAACACUUUAAGAACAAACAUAAAAACAUCAUGAGAACAGAUGGCUUCUCUACAGUGUAGAGGACACAUCACUAAAAUCUACACUAGGCCACCAUUGUUGGUUGGAGCGUCUAAUAACCAAAGACUGUCAAAGUAUAUUUUAUGAGCUUUAGAGUAUGAGUAACAGCAAAUAGUGUUCAGCUGGUUUUGAUCUGCCUCCAAUUUGUCCCCAGGACUCCUGAGGUGAAAAGCUAACACUGUAAAAGAAUGACAGCUCAGAAAAGUAUGCAAUUUUCCAGGGGGGAUUAAUUUAACUAAUGACAUUAUGGGAAUAUCCUUUGUAACACAUGUCAAAGUUUAUGUCAUGACAAAGUUGUAAUUUUUUUUUGAAUCAGCAUUAUGGAGAAUAGAUAGACAGCACCCCAACCUGCACAGGCCACAAUCUUCCUGAGAAAGCUCUCAUAGCUCUUCAACUUGACUAGCCUGCAAAAGCAAGCAGGUUUCUCAAAGAGAUGGGAAAGGAAAACCAGCCUGCUUUAAGAUUUAAUUAUAGAAUAGAAACUGUGUGAAGUUUCACAGACUUCCAAAGCUUCUAGUUUCUACUAUUACUUUGAGCUAUACUGUGUAUCUCUGAAAGUGUGCAUUAGUUCCUUAAAUAAAUAGGAACCUCAUACAAUGUACUGAACAGAUGAAGUCCAAACUUUGGCUAUUAUCAAGAUCAACCAUUUUGUAAAUUAAGGUUCCUUUUUUGUUCCCAUGGACAUCUGAGUUCAGAAUUCUUUGGAGGGCACAGUUGCCUGUGUCAAGGAAUUAUUUGUGGAGAGACCUAAUUUCCCUGAGGAAAGACAAAGCUGCAUUUCCUACAUGGAACAGACGCUGUAAGCCAGCACAUCAGACAACCAGAGAGAUCUGAGAUCUGCAGGUCUCAUUGUCAGCUGUACAGAUGCGCUUUUGCCUGCACUGGCUGCAGGCACUCCAGUUAUUUCUCGGAUGGGCUGUUUCGCCCCUGAGGUCUGCUGCUAAGGAGUCCCACUCUCUCUCCCCAGCUAUUCUCUCAGAAGCCUUCCCCAGUGGAGGUCCAAAUCCAUGCUGAGGAAAUUUCAGAAAAGGCUUUAUGAUUUCACAGGUUUAGGAUGUCAUUCAUGUGCCCUGAUUUAACAAGUUCUAGGAACUUCAGAUGCUUAUCUCUGUAAAUUAAAAGGUUGCAGCAAUGACUGAGGUAUCAAUUCGUAAAUAUUGUUUUGUCAGUGUUCACUGGGCACCCUACUGAGGAGCUGAUUCCUUGACCCUCAUACCUGACAAAUACCAUAUUCCCUGAUACAAAGACUGGAGAACAAUCCAUUUCUAAGAAGUUGCACUGUCUUUAGAGAGAGUACCAGAAUCUGUCUCCUUGUAACUUCACUUCCACUUUUAUCACCCCGAAAGAAUCCCAGACCCUGACCAAAAUGUGCUAACAUGGAAGGAAGUUCGAAGCUUAAAGCUGGCACAUCUACAAUGAUAUUUACGGUUUCUUCCCACCUGAACCAUGCUUUCCUUUUCAGAGGUGCUAAAUACCAAAAGCCUACAUUUACCUGGACCGGGGGCCUCAGCCUCUCUGAGAGGCAAAGUAGUUAUCUACAUGCCCAGUGUCGUGAUUGUAAAGCAGAUCUGACCUAUGGUGGUUUUUUUUUUAAAACAGAACAUGUAUUAAAGCAACAAGAAAUAAAUAUUUUGGCCUCAGAGAUCUACUUCAAGAUUCUAAACAAAUCUUUUUUGUUAUAGCUUUGGGAUUUAGCAUAAAACAUGCAAUUAAACUUAUGAAACAAAAUAGCAAAAAUUAAACUGCUUUGCAGUUCAGAUUAAUUAUGGAAAUAUAUAGGUCAAUUUAUGGAUGUCAAUGGACUAACAGAAGUUAGCAGUGACAGUGACAUGGUUUCAUCUGUCCUAAUGGACUCUUCAAUAUUCAGAAAUCUGGCCAUAUUGAUCAUGCAAUUCAUACUGGAUAAAAAGAGACAAUACACAUUUGUGGCCACAUUCUACCCUCAUCACUCCCAGCUUAUUUAAAACAACAUUCAAACCGUGCAUUGGUUUCCCUUGUGGCUUAAUUCUCAUUAUUCACUGGACUCCUUUUUACUAGAAACUGACUGAAGAGCCAGAUUCUGAGCUCAUUGUUUGGUUUUUUGCUGACUACAAUGAACAGCCUUCUCAGUUUCCAAGCCCAGCAUUUCUAUACACUCAAAACAGUUGCAACCACCAACUAGCAAAAUAAAAGCAGGUCAGGGAUGGGGAGGCAGGAUGAGUGAAAAGAGUGUGCACGUGCUUUUCAGAAAGAAUGAGAAUGAAAAUUAAUAAAAGACUGGCUCAUAGCCUGUAGCAACAAAUGACAUCAAUGAAGCAUGGGAGAUGUGUGUCCCAAAACAGAAAAAAAUGUAAAAAAAAAUAA